rnacentral:rRNA from 1 species
UCUUUCUUUUGCUGGCGACCGGCGCACGGGUGAGUAACACUAUCCAACCUGCCCUUUACUCGGGGAUAGCCUUUCGAAAGAAAGAUUAAUACCCGAUAUAUAAUGAUUCCGCAUGGUUUCAUUAUUAAAGGAUUCCGGUAAAGGAUGGGGAUGCGUUCCAUUAGGUUGUUGGUGAGGUAACGGCUCACCAAGCCUUCGAUGGAUAGGGGUUCUGAGAGGAAGGUCCCCCACAUUGGAACUGAGACACGGUCCAA